UAAUGGAAGUGGGAGCUGGAGGAGAUCUUGGGAGGAAAGAUAUAUAGUCCAGUGUCGUCUCUGUAGAGAGCAAAAGGGAAAGGAGCUCGCAGCAGGUACUUAAGCACUGACAUGAGUGAUCUCAUGGUCCAGAGAUACCCUCCUUCUUCUUCUUGUUCCUCCUUCCUCUCUCUUCCCGCCUCUCUCUAGGAUCUUCACCUCUCAUGCUCUUUUAGAGAGAGAGAGGGGAGAGAGAUUACUUAUAUGCAAGCUAUCGGCACGGCUAGCACGUGUGCAUGCAGGCAGAGCUGCAUCGAUUCUUGAGGUCAAAGCCACAACAAGCUCCACUGAAGAAGAGAGAG